rnacentral:rRNA from 1 species
UACGUAGGGUGCAAGCGUUAAUCGGAAUUACUGGGCGUAAAGCGUGCGCAGGCGGUUGUGCAAGACAGAUGUGAAAAUCCCCGGGCUUAACCUGGGAAUUGCAUUUGUGACUGCACGGCUAGAGUGUGUCAGAGGGGGUAGAAUUCCACGUGUAGCAGUGAAAUGCGUAGAUAUGUGGAGGAAUACCGAUGGCGAAGGCAGCCCCCUGGGAUAACACUGA